rnacentral:rRNA from 1 species
AGAGUUUGAUCAUGGCUCAGAACGUACGCUGGCGGCACGCCUAACACAUGCAAGUCGAACGAAGUAGCAAUACUUAGUGGCAGACGGGUGAGUAACAUGUAGGUAUCUGCCCUUUGGCCUGGAAUAACACGAGGAAACUUGUGCUAAUACCGGAUAAGUCUUUACGGAGAAAGCUUUAUGCACCAUUGGAUGAGCCUGCACUUGAUUAGUUUGUUGGUGGGGUAAUGGCCUACCAAGACUGUGAUCAAUAGCUGAUUUGAGAGGAUGAUCAGCCACAUUGGGACUGAGACACGGCCCAAACUCCUACGGGAGGCAGCAGUGGGGAAUCUUGCACAAUGGAGGAAACUCUGAUGCAGCGAUGCCGCGUGAGUGAAGAAGGCCCUUGGGUUGUAAAGCUCUUUCGUCGGGGAAGAAAAUGACUGUACCCGAAUAAGAAGGUCCGGCUAACUUCGUGCCAGCAGCCGCGGUAAUACGAAGGGACCUAGCGUAGUUCGGAAUUACUGGGCUUAAAGAGUUCGUAGGUGGUUGAAAAAGUUAGUGGUGAAAUCCCAGAGCUUAACUCUGGAACUGCCAUUAAAACUUUUCAGCUAGAGUAUGAUAGAGGAAAGCAGAAUUUCUAGUGUAGAGGUGAAAUUCGUAGAUAUUAGAAAGAAUACCAAUUGCGAAGGCAGCUUUCUGGAUCAUUACUGACACUGAGGAACGAAAGCAUGGGUAGCGAAGAGGAUUAGAUACCCUCGUAGUCCAUGCCGUAAACGAUGUGUGUUAGACGUUGGAAAUUUAUUUU